GGAGGAUUCCCUGUGGCCAGCAUCUUUCUCACUUGUGUUAGUUCUGUGAGAAUGCUCAAAAUCAGCUAGCCACUUCUCGAGCUCCUUAAAAACUUAGGACAAUGACCAAAAGACCAUGACACCUUCCUUGUGCUCUGCCCACCGUUGUCUUGAUGCUCUUGGUUUAAUUCAUCCAAGUGUUCUGGAGGCAUAGACAGUCAUGUUUCCGAAUCUAACU
rnacentral:lncRNA from 1 species